rnacentral:sRNA from 1 species
UUGCUGUGGGACGACUGUCAAUGACGUGC